CCUGGGUGUCUGCUCUAACCACUGGACUAUUAGGUAAAAAGGGGCAGCACUAUCAUUAUUUUGAAUGAGGCCCAAUCCAGUAGGUGGCCUCUGAGCACACCCACCCCACUGGCAAGAUACAGGGGGAAUGCUUAGUUUGUGAAUCCAACCAGCUUUGUGCAUGUCCACAAGUAGAAAUUUAGGCAUCUAAGGGAUUUUAUUGACAGAAAUAUAGGCACUUAGAGAAUUUAUGCACCAGCCAAGCAGAGAUUUUGAGGACCUACAUUUUUGAAUUAGAUCCCUGAAGUGGCAGUUAAAUGUCUAAAUCCCUUAAUGGAUCUUCCUAGGGAGCCUUGCACAUUUGCACUAGAUAUGUGCAAUCUUGAGCCUUGCAUUCUUAGUACGCAAGGACCCCAAAGGAACUGGAAGUGAGAGGGACUAUUCCUCCCAUGUUGGCCAGCAGAGCAAAGGUAGUGCAGAGGAGUGUACAUGCUUCAUUCUCUCAAAGAUUUGCAGCUUCUGCACAGAUGUUUUCCCCUAAAGGUGCUCUGACUGAAUGAGCAAGAAUGCCUAAGGGACCGCACGCAAAGAAGGACAUACCUCUACAUCCCACAGACGGGGCUUUGACUAUAAAAGCCAGAACAAAGCCCUACACUUGAAGAAGGAGAGGUACUGGUAAGUGCUUGGACCACAGAUCUCUUGGAGAUUACAUAUGAAUGGCACCCUUCAAUUAAUCCGCUUUCACAAGAAAUUCCAAGUUCAAUCAGCUGUAAUCAUGAGCCUAUUUCCUGAUGCAAUCAUUAUAAAAGUAGAAGCCUCUCCCCGCCCCACCACACAGAUCACAGCUGCUGAAUUUAUAUUCACUGUGAAUGGAUGAGACCUUGGAUGCUGUAGCAGGUUCAGUCUGGUUUUCCACACUGGAUAUUAAAAGUGAUACUGAAAUAAUCCUGCAAGGUCCCAAAUACUGGCAACUGUUAAAGCCAAAGGAGCAACAAUAUCUACACACAAGAACAAUGAAGAAACACAAUUUGCUGAUGAAGAGGAUCAUUUUCCUCCUGGUGGAGCUUUUCACUUUACACUAUAAAGUUGCACCCCAUGUGUACUCUUUAUCAUCCCAACUUCUCCCUAAUUUCAAGCUAUACAAAAAAAAAACCAGAGUAUUCUGUUAAUAAGCAAAAACCCAACCCCAAUAGCUACUAAUUAUAGAUGGAGCUAGCAGUGACAUCUAUAGUUAAAGUUGCCUAACACUUUCCAUUAUAACACCCUGUUUACAGGUGCUUGUAACUUUUCCAAAUUUAAACUGUUGGCUUGGAAUUUUCCAUGCUGGGUGUCUGCCUCAGAUUCAAUUUUUUGUGACAGUCUCAGCAAAAGUAGCUUAGCCCAUUCCAAGAAUAAGGUUAGGGAAAAGACAAUGUUUUGCCCAUGUUAAAAAAAUUCUUACAAUUGUUUCAGUGAGAAGCUCUACCACCUCCUUGCUUUAGAGCAGGGACUUGCAAUUUGGCAGGAGAUUGCCCUAGUGUCAGGGAUGUGCCUUUUGCUCUCCCCAUAUAUAUUAUGUAAAAAUCCAGCUCAAUUUAUAUGCCUCAGAGAUGUAGUUCACACAUGCUCUGUAGAGGUUUGUUAUAGGCUGGCAGCAUUACUUGCUGAAGAUUUUGUCUGCACUGAACAUGUUCCGCCCGCACCCCGUCCCCCUCCCCGCAAUGCCUACAUACUAGCUGGACUGAACAUACUCCAACUGCAUAGAACACCUAAACUUGCUCCAACCCAGAGCUGUUGGGGCUAAGAAGAACUUUCGCUGCAAUUGCUUCUCUUGGCUAUCAGGGUCUGCUGUGGCAGCCGGUACCAGAACUGAGAGGAUGGAGACAGUCUCUUUUAAGCUUUCAGUGCUCCCUCUCCUGGUGCCCUGGCUGUAUGGUGGAAGGGGUAACAGUCUGACUUGAAAAAAAAGGAUACGAUAGGAGCAGAGAGUGACAGAUACUUGGAGGAUAGGUGUAGAGAGGGACAGAGACUGGGACAGGAAUCAGAGGAUUGGAAGCAAAAGCCUAGGGUGACAAGAACAGGAACUGCAGAGGAGGAAAUGAACAGGAGCUGGGGGAGAGAGAUAGGAACAGGACAGGGAUAGGCUCAGGGCAGGAAUGGAAGGAUCUGUGACCACUAGAGCACCUCCUCUACAGAAUUUGGAACUGAACUAAGGUGAUCAGACAGCAAGUGUGAAAAAUCGGGACAGGGGGUAGGAGGUAAUAGGCACCUAUAUAAGACAAAGCCUCAAAUAUCAGGACUGUCCCUAAAAAAUCAUGACACCUGGUCACCCUACACUGAACCAGGAUUCAUUAAUCUAAACAUUCCUUUUCUGUCUAGCAAAUAGCUGUGAGUCACAGAGAUACCCACUACCAAAAUAAGUCUCAUCUCCCUCUAGUCCUCCCAGAUACUCUAUUAGUUCCUGUGGUAGAUCUGUGUAGCAGAUCCUACUGAUGAAUCAUGUGGAAGUAAAUAUGAUUCCAUAUGAUAGAAUUCUUUUUAGUUUACUUUUCAAAAAUUUAGUCUUUUUAAAUGUAAUUUCCUAUGUUAAAAUAAUAUAAAGGUGCAAAGUCAAGUGUUCAAAACUUAGGAAAUGCUAGAAUUAAGGUUGCCUUUACAACCUUAAUUUGUCCCCCUUGUGCAUAUGUACUCUGCCUCAUUCAGAGUACAGGAUGGACUGUGUUCCAGCAAUGAAUCAAAGUUUUGGAGUUAAUGAGAGUUUGAUGGUACCUCCCAUAAGGCUCUAUGGAAAUAUGCUUAGAAUGUGUUUUAUGCUACAUAUGCCAUAUCU